AAGAGAGAAGAAACAUAUAGUUAUCGAAAGUAAUCCACAGAUUAUUGUCUGUGAGAUAAUUAGUGGGUAAUAAAAAUAUUAUAGUGAAGUGUGUUAAAUAAAGAGUAUUAUUUCUUUUAUAGUUGUAGUAGUUUCUUAACUCUACUACAUUGUAUUAUUAUAGUGAUAAUAUUGCUCCACUCAAAUAUUGUAUUUACCCCGCUAAAAUAUCUAAUGUCAUUGUUACUCUCUUGUGUUAUUAUUAUUUCCUGUGAAUAUUAUUCCUGUGCGGAAUUAUUUUUUCAAUCCCAACAGUACUGUUGGACAUUGCUUUGAGUGCUGUCAAGAUGGCUUAAGUGUUAGCCGAAUAUGUCUACUCCUUGAAUUUGUGGCAAAUGGGGCCCUGCGGGGGGACAUAGAAAUAUCUUGAUAUAUAUAUAUAUAUAGAUGACUUAAGCGUUAGCGGAAUAUGUAUUUUUUCGUAUUUAUGCCAAAUAGGACGUUGCGGGAGUCAUAUCAAAAUAUUGAGAUAUAGACAUUGUAUUUAUUGACAACAUUGAUGUUGUUAAGAAUAGAAUUUUAUUUGGAGUGAAUGUCUAUCUUGUAGAGAGUUUUACUUUGAGGC
rnacentral:lncRNA from 1 species